GGACUACAGGGGUAUCUAAUCCUGUUCGCUCCCCACGCUUUCGCGUCUCAGCGUCAGUACCGUACUAGAGAGCCGCCUUAGCCACGGGUGUUCUUCCUGAUAUCUGCGCAUUUCACCGCUACACCAGGAAUUCCACUCUCCUCUUCCGGACUCUAGCCUGAUGGUUUCCACCGGCGUCUCGAGGUUGAGCCUCGAGUUUUCACAGCGGACCUACCAAACCGCCUACACGCUCUUUACGCCCAAUAAAUCCGGACAACGCUUGCCCCCUACGUAUUACCGCGGCGGCUGGCAC
rnacentral:rRNA from 1 species